GUGUCAGCAGCCGCGGUAACACCCGCAGCACGAGUAGUGGUCACUUUUAUUGAGCCUAAAGCGUUCGUAGCCGGUUUUGUGAAUCUUCAGAUAAAGCCUGAAGCUUAACUCCAGAAAGUCUGAAGAGACUGCAAGACUUGAGAUCGGGUGAGGUUAAACGUACUUUCAGGGUAGGGGUAAAAUCCUGUAAUCCCGGAAGGACGACCAGUGGCGAAAGCGUUUAACUAGAACGAAUCUGACGGUAAGGAACGAAGGCUAGGGUAGCAAACCGGAUUAGAAACCCUCGUAGUCC
rnacentral:rRNA from 1 species